AGUCAACAUGCCCAGGGGACGUGGAUAACCUCGGGAAACUGAGGAUAAACCGCGAUAGGUCACUGCUUCUGGAAUGGGCAAUGACCCAAACCUAUAUGGCCCCUGGAUUGGACUGCGGCCGAUCAGGCUGUUGGUGAGGUAAUGGCCCACCAAACCUGUAACCGGUACGGGCUCUGAGAGGAGGAGCCCGGAGAUGGGCACUGAGACAAGGGCCCAGGCCCUAUGGGGCGCAGCAGGCGCGAAACCUCUGCAAUAGGCGAAAGCUUGACAGGGUUACUCUGAGUGAUUUCCGUUAAGGAGAUCUUUUGGCACCUCUAAAAAUGGUGCAGAAUAAGGGGUGGGCAAGUCUGGUGUCAGCCGCCGCGGUAAUACCAGCACCCCGAGUGGUCGGGACGUUUAUUGGGCCUAAAGCAUCCGUAGCCGGUUCUACAAGUCUUCCGUUAAAUCCACCUGCUUAACAGAUGGGCUGCGGAAGACACUAUGGAGCUAGGAGGCGGGAGAGGCAAGCGGUACUCGAUGGGUAGGGGUAAAAUCCGUUGAUCCAUUGAAGACCACCAGUGGCGAAGGCGGCUUGCCAGAACGCGCUCGACGGUGAGGGAUGAAAGCUGGGGGAGCAAACCGGAUUAGAUACCCGGGUAGUCCCAGCUGUAAACGAUGCAGACUCGGUGAUGAGUUGGCUUUAUGCCAACUCAGUGCCGCAGGGAAGCCGUUAAGUUUGCCGCCUGGGGAGUACGGUCGCAAGACUGAAACUUAA
rnacentral:rRNA from 1 species